rnacentral:lncRNA from 1 species
UUUUUUUUAUCCAUUGGUUUCUUCUUCUUGAUGUACAUAUAAGUCAUUAAGUACCUAAAUUACAUGUAGUAUUCCUACUACUCCGCUCAGAAAAUAGAAAGAAUCAACAUAGGAUUUAAUUUCCAUUCUUCACAAAUUGGUUUCAUAAUGAAAUUUUUUCUAUAAUGGAUAGGAAGGGAAUGCAACAUGAGAUUUGUUUAGAUGAAGA